rnacentral:rRNA from 1 species
ACGAUCCUAGCUUGCUAGGAGGCGUCGAGCGGCGGACGGGUGAGUAAUGCAUAGGAAUCUGCCCGGUAGUGGGGGAUAACCUGAGGAAACUCAGGCUAAUACCGCAUACGUCCUACGGGAGAAAGCAGGGGCUCUUCGGACCUUGCGCUAUCGGAUGAGCUUAUGUCGGAUUAGCUGGUUGGUGAGGUAACGGCUCACCAAGGCGACGAUCCGUAGCUGGUCUGAGAGGAUGAUCAGCCACAUCGGGACUGAGACACGGCCCGAACUCCUACGGGAGGCAGCAGUGGGGAAUAUUGGACAAUGGGGGCAACCCUGAUCCAGCCAUGCCGCGUGUGUGAAGAAGGCCCUCGGGUUGUAAAGUACUUUCAGUGAGGAAGAAGGCUUGUCGGUUAAUACCCGGCAAGAAAGACAUCACUCACAGAAGAAGCACCGGCUAACUCCGUGCCA